rnacentral:rRNA from 1 species
CCCUUAGAUGUUCUGGGCCGCACGCGCGCUACACUGACUACUUCAACGAGUUGUUUCCUUGAUCGAAAGGUCUGGGUAAUCUUUGAAAGGUAGUCGUGAUGGGGAUAGAUCCUUGCAAUUUUUGAUCUUCAACGAGGAAUUCCUAGUAAACGCAAGUCAUCAGCUUGCAUUGAUUACGUCCCUGCCCUUUGUACACACCGCCCGUCGCACCUACCGAUUGAAUGGUCCGGUGAAAUCCUCGGAUCGAGCCGUGGGGCAACUCCGGUUCGAGAAGUUGAUUAAACCUUACCAUUUAGAGGAAGGUGAAGUCGUNACA